GCGUAACGCGUAUGCAACCUGCCCUGCACUGGGGGAUAGCUCAGGGAAACUUGAGGUAAUACCCCAUAUACUCAGCGAGGGGCAUCCCUUGUUGAGGAAAGCUUUGGUGGUGCAGGAUGGGCAUGCGUCCGAUUAGCUAGUUGGUGGGGUAACGGCUCACCAAGGCUACGAUCGGUAGGGGGUCUGAGAGGAUGAUCCCCCACACGGACACUGAGACACGGGUCCGACUCCUACGGGAGGCAGCAGUAGGGAAUAUUGGGCAAUGGGCGAAAGCCUGACCCAGCCAUGCCGCGUGGAGGAAGACGGCCCACCGGGUUGUAAACUCCUUUUGUCAGGGACGAAAGAGCGCCUGCGGGCGUGUGUUUGACGGUACCUGACGAAUAAGCACCGGCUAACUCCGUGCCAGCAGCCGCGGUAAUACGGAGGGUGCAAGCGUUAUCCGGAUUUACUGGGUUUAAAGGGUGCGUAGGCGGCCUUGUAAGUCCGUGUUGAAAGGCUACGGCUUAACCGUAGUAAGGCAUGGAUACUGCGAGGCUUGAGUACAGUGGGGGCAGAUGGAAUUGGUGGAGUAGCGGUGAAAUGCAUAGAUACCACCAGGAACACCGAUAGCGAAGGCAGUCUGCUACGCUGUAACUGACGCU
rnacentral:rRNA from 1 species